CGAAGACUUGAAAAGUCAACUUCAGUCUUCUUCCUUAUUGUCCCACCAAUAAUUUUACUUUUUCUCCUUCAAUCUCAUCUUCUUCCUCAAUCCUCUGAACAUCGACCACAUGUUUCUUCAUCCAUUGACCUCAAAUACUUGAUUUUCACUAUCGACUCUCUUUCUUUCUCUCUCUCUCUAGAUUUUCCGUCAAAGCUAUGGAGAAACUCUGUCUUCGAAACUCUGUUUCUCUCAUGACGAUGGUGGUUAUUGUUCUUCUUCCUCGUUGCACUCUUUCUACUACUUCUACAUAUUCUCGUCCCGAGAAGUUGUACGUCAACUGUGGGUCGGAUUCUAAUGUCACUUACGGUAACCGGACUUUUGUCGGAGAUAUGAUCUCUGGUGGUAACUCCGUUUCAUUCACCAAGAAAGGAACUGAAGCCAUCAACCAAUCAGGAUCAGGAAUCUACGAAAUGGUUAGGAUAUUCACAAGCCCUUCUUCUUACAAGUUCCAACUCGAUUCCGUUGGUCUGCACUUCGUGCGUCUCCAUUUCUCUGCUGUCUCUUCUCGGACACAGCUUUUAGCUGCUCGUUUCACAAUCUCAGCUACUUCUCACUUGAAAAGUUUCUCGCUUCAGAAUUUCAAUGAGACCCCACGAGUUGAGGAGUUUCUCCUGAUGAUUGACUCGCCGGAAUUCGAAAUUCGAUUUGUGCCCGAUCAUUCAUCCAUGGCUUUCGUCAACGCCAUCGAAGUGUUCUCUGCUCCAGAUGACCUAGAAAUUCCGUCAGACUCCGACAAGAAUCUGCAUACGGUUUACAGAUUAAACGUAGGAGGCAAGAAGAUCACACCAGAAAACGACACCUUGGGAAGAACUUGGUCAUUAGACGAUGACUUCCUCUACGAAAAAGAUUCUGCGAGGAACAUUAACUCAACACAAAAGCCUAACUAUGAGUCAGGAACAGUGACGCAAUUCACUGCUCCUGAUUUCGUCUAUCAGACAGCUAAAACGAUGAACCAUAGCUCGAACGAGGGGGUGGUAGAGGGAAUGUUGAUGAACGUCACUUGGUCAUUUAAGGUCAAAAGCAGCUCAAGACACUUCAUCAGGGUUCACUUCUGUGAUAUCAAGAGUGAAUCACAAAAUCCCGACUCCGAUUUCUAUCUCUAUGUAAACGGACAAUCACGACUAGAUGUAAAGCCUUCAGAGCGUNNNNNNNNNNNNNNNNNNNNNNNNNNNNNNNNNNNNNNNNNNNNNNNNNNNNNNNNNNNNNNNNNNNNNNNNNNNNNNNNNNNNNNNNNNNNNNNNNNNNAUAUAAAUCAUAAAUAUUAUUUAUUUAAAAUUCUACUUGAAAAGCCUUUAAAUAAAGUAACUUAAACUUGUAUAAGUAGUAUAUUUUAUAUAUAUAAAAAAUAAAUUUGUAACUAAAAAAGUGAUAAUAGAGAUUUUAAUAUUAUGGUGGUUUAUUUUUGUUGUUAAUGGAGAUUUUUUAUUUUUAACCAUAAUAUUAGGAUUUGGAAACUUUUUUGAAUUUUUAAAUGUUGAUAUGGAUGCCUUAAAAAUAAUAUGGCUAAACUGUUAUUAAUAAUAGAAUAGUUUAAAUUACAAAUUUUCCUAUAUUGUUUUGUAUUACCAAUGUAAUUUUAUAAUUUAAAAACUUUUUAAAUUUUAAUUAUUGAUGUAGACUAAAAACAUUGACCUUUUACAUGUUAUGUGGAUGUCUUUGGAAGCAUAUAGCUUCAGCUUUUAUUUUUCUAUAAAUAUUUUUUUUGUUAACAAUACAGUUUUAAAAUUUGAAAAUUUUCUAAAUUUUAGAUAUUGAUAUAAACCAAUAGAAUUGAAAUUUUAAAUCCUAUGUGGACACUCUUAGAGGUAUAUAGCUUCAGGUUUUAUUUGUAAUAUAUUUAGAUAUUAACACUGGAAGAUCCCACACGAGGCCCAUUGCGGUAAGUGAUUUUGGUUUCUCCUCUAUGUUUUGAGGCUUACGGAAUGUAUUCUGAUACUGUUUGAUUCAGCUAAUUGUUACCUUUGUGGUUCAGGUUGGAUUGCUAAACCCUUGUCAGACACCAUGUUAUUCCAAAGAUUUUCCUCGGAUACCUCAGUCUCUUCGCCUUAAUGCAGAACUUCUUUCUCUAUUUCUAGUGGUUCGUUUUUCAAAAAUUUUGGGUAUCAAUCACUUGACAUGUUUCUCGGAUUACUUGAAAUUUAUCAUUCUUCUCAAAUCUGGUGGCAAAACUUUAGAGAUUUUACAGUCUCUUUUUCAAUAUUAAAACAGCUUGUAGUGUCUUUGUUUUCAUCAUAAUCAUUUUAAUUUAGCUAAUAGUUAAACAUAUAGUUUAGUCAAGUUGGUUCUUAAUUUUACAUUGUAAUGAUUCAUUCUUUAGUGAAACCUAUCUCUAUUUUUUUGCUUUUUUAAUUGAAAUGGUUGUACAUACAUAAAAAAAACUUAAAAUUUAUUAUAGUUAUGUGAAAAAAAUUUGGAUGCUAAUGUAGGAGUAUGUAAAUAAAUUUAAAUAUUUUAUUUGUUCUUAAUUAUUUAUAUAAUUGAAACAUCUAACUUAAAUUUAAAUUUUCCUAUUUUAAAAUAUUUAUUUUAUUUUUAUUAUUAUUAAUAUAAAUUAUAUAUAUAAUUUAUUCAUCUUUAAUAAAAUUUUAAAACAAUAAUAGAAUUUAGAAACUUUUUUUAUUUUUAAUGUUGAGGUGGACCAAUAAAAAAUUUAUACAAAAUUUCUUUAUUAAACAAUAAUAUUAGAAUUUGUAAACUUUCUUAAUUUUUUUAUUUAACACUAAUAUUAAAAUUUGGAAAUUUUCUUAAUUUUGAAUGAUGAUGUGGACCAAUAAAAUUCUUAAUUUCCUUAUUUAAUAAUAAUAUUAAAAUUUGUAAAUUUUCCUAAUUUUGAAUGAUAAUGUGGGCCAAUAAAAUUGUAUUUUUUAAUCCUAUGUGAACGCCUUGAAAAGCUUAUAGCUUCAUGUUUUAUUAGUAUAAGAUUAUAUGCAAAUCUUAUAUUUUGCGUCCAUGCUAUGCGUGGAUAUUUGGUCGAUAAAAAUUAUAUUUAUCAAUAUAAAAAUUUUCUAUAUUAAUGUUUUAAUUAUAUAUUUAAAAUAUUAUAAUGUUAAUCUAAUAAUUUUUAUGUAAAUUAUAAGGUUUUAACGGUUUUUUUAAUCUAUAUAUAAUAUGUUAUAUUUCAAAAACGUAUUAUUUGGUCAAACACUUAUAAGUAAAAUUUUACAAAUUAAUCAAAUGCUAAUUUUAAAUAUAGUAUUGACAUGAUGAUAAAAUAUUAUACAUUCACUUUUUUAAAUCAUGAAGAUAUUUUUUUUUAUCAUUUUCACUUUUAUUUCAAUUAUAUAUGUGUUUUUUAAAAACAAUAAAAAUAAUUAUAUUUAAUUUUUUUUCCUUCUCUUGUAAUUAACUAAUAAAUAAAAUAUUUGCUUUUGAGGUUAAUAAUAACUAUAAACUUGAAAUCAAAACAGCAUAUGAAUAUAAAAUGAAUAAAAUCACUAAAAAUUUUUGAAUUAAAUAUAUUUUUGAUAAUUGGUUGUGUAAAAUUUUAAAUAAUUUUUUAAUUAUUAUUCCUCAUCUCUUCUAAUGAGAAUGAAAAAAAAUUUCAUCAUGUUCAUUUUUAUUUUUGUUAUAUCUGUUUUUUUAUGAAUAUGUCAUAUUUGUAUAUUUUAAUGAUUUGUGUAUGACUAUAUUCAGUUUCAUCAUAUUCAUUUUUACUUCUUUGAAUUAUAAUUAAGUAGGCAAAAUCGGUAUAAUUAAAUACAUUUAAUUUUUUAAAAAAAAAAAAAAUUGAACAACUCAAAACAAAGAGUUUCUACAUUAAUCUAUUGCAAUUCCAAGUCGAAUUUUUUUUAAAAAAAGAAAAUUUUGAUUAUUUUUCAGUAAUAUAUUACAUAAUAUUAUGUGAAUAUAUGUAUUGCAUAUGUUAAAACAUUUAUAUGAAUAUAAAUUAUAAUUAUUAGUUAUUUAAAAUUCAAUGUGAAAACCCUUAAAAUCAAGUAACUAAACUUGUAUAAGUAGCAUAUAUUUGUUUUGUAGAUGAUAAAUUAUAUUUGUAACUUAAACAGUGUUAAUGGAGAUUUUAAUAUCAUUUUGGUUUUUUGUGUUGUUAACAGAGAUUUCUUUAUUUUUUAAUUUAUUUUUUAACUAUAAUAUUAGAAUUAAGAGUUUUUUAAUUUACAUUUUUGUUAUAUACAAAUAAAAUUGAUAAUAGAAUAAUAUAACUUUAACUAUUAUUAAUAAUAGAAUAAUUUUAACUAACACUUUUACCUAAAUUGUUUUGUAUUAACAAUAUAAUUUUAUAAUUUAGAAUUUUUUUAAAACUUUAGUUAUUAAUGUAGACUAAUAAAAUUGACCUUUUAAAUCUUAUGUGUAUGUCCUUACAGGCAUAUAGCUUCAAAUUUUAUUUUUCUAUAAAUAUAUUUUUUUGUUAACAAUAUAAUUUUAAAAUUUAGAAAUUUUUUUAAAUUUAAAUAUUAAUAUGGACUAAUAAAAUUAAACUUUUAAAUCAUAUAUGGAUAUUCUUAGAGAAAUAUAGCUUUAAAUUUUAUUAAUAAUAGAUUUAGGAAUCAAACAUGGAGGAUGCCACACAAGGCUCGUUGCGGUAAUUGAUUUUGAUAUUUUCUCCUUGUUUUGAGGUUUACCGAAUGUAUUUGGAUGAUGUUUGGUCAGCUAAUUGUUACUUUUAUGGUUAAAAUUAGAUUUUUAAAAUCCUAUAAAAUGCCAUGUUAUUUUAAAAAAAAUUUUCGGAUAUCUUAGUCUCAUUCGUCUUAAUGACAAAACUUCUUUCUCUAUUUUCAGUGUUUUGUUUUUCAAAAGUAUCGAGUAUCAAUCACUUGACAUGUUUCUUGGAUUGGUUGGAAUUUAUCAUUCUUCUCAAAUUUGAUGGCUAAGCUUUAGAGAUUUUAUGAUCUUUUUUUCAAUAUUAAAGCGGCUUGUAGUGACUUUGUUUAUAUCUUCUUUCAUUAUAUUCUUUGUAAUUUAGCUAAUAGUUAAAAAUAUAAUUUAGUCAAGUUGAUUGUAUUUUUUUGUUUUUGUUAAUUUGAAAUAGUUGCACACAUAGAAAAAUUGGACGCUAAUGUAAGAGUCUCUAAAUAUGUAUGUAUAAAUCUAAUUUAAAUUUAUAUUUUCAUAGUUUAAUAUUAUUAUUUUAGUUUUUAUUAAUAUAAAUUUUAUAUAUGAUUUAUUUAUCUUUAAUAAUUUUUAAAAACAAUAAUAAAAUUUAGAAACAUUUAAAUUUUCAAUAUUGAGGUGGACCAAUAAAAAUUUUAUACAAAAAUUUCCUUAUCCAUCAAUAGUAUUAAAAUUUGUAAACUUUCCUAAUUUUCUUAUUCAGCAAUAAUUUUAUAACUUGUAAAUUUUCCUUAAUUUUGAAUGUUGAUGUGGACCAAUAAAAUUACUCUUUUAAAUCCUAUGUAAAAACCCUUAGAGCAUGGCAGUUUUACACAGGUUCUAAGGUGGGGUUUAUAAGUUUUUUGGAUUUUAAAAAAAUGAAAAAAGCCCAAUAUCUCGUGAACCGGUUCUUGUUUUAGAGUUUUUGGAGACUGUAUUUAGAAGGGUUCAUAAGUGACGUGUCUGCUUCUCAUUCGUUCAACAAGAAAUUUUUUUACGCUCUCUCUCCUCUUCCACUUUCUCUGGUUUUUCGUUUAUGUCGACAUUUAUUUCUCCUCUUCCAACCACGAUUUUUUCUCUGGUGAUUUCAGAUCAUGGGCUAAAAAAAUGAAAGCUUUGCAUGAACCCACUUGAAAAAGAGCUGGGAUUUUCAUUGGAAUCAAAGCAUCACUCUUUCCUCGAUCAUUGUUACAAAUCGAACAGACGGUAAUGCCGGAGGCUCAAUUCCGAGAUAAAUUUGAUCACGUCGAUUUCUUUCUGGUUUGUUACGUGUUUGAACUGCCAAACCAAUUCAUUCAUUAUAUAAAAUCAAAACCGAGAACAUCAUACUUGAGAUCACUGUUCUUCUUUUGCUUCAUAGUUUGUGAAGGAAAAUUAAACAAAAAAAAUUUUAGAUUUCAUCAAACCCAGUUUAAGAACCUCUAAUGAUGUUCACCAUUGGAGGAAUAAAAAACUUUGGAGUUCUAAACCAUUCUUUAAUCAAAAAUAAAUUAUUAAAAAAUAGCUAUGAACCCCAAGAGGAGGUUCACCAUUACUGGUGCUCUUAGAAACAUAUAGCUUCAACUUUUAUUAGUAUAAGAUGUUUUCUCAUUUUUUUAUUUUAAAAUAUAUCUACUGAUCUACAUAUUUGAUUUACUAAGGUUAUUUUCUUAUAACGUAUCUCGGACUUGGAAAAUAUCAUGAAUGUGAAUUCAAAACAUUGAUUUGACAAACUUUUUCUCUCUCGAAGCUCUUUCGCGUGCUUCCGUCUUGGUGGUCUUCUCCGGUUAUGGCGCUCAUCGCUGGACUGUGAGAAGGCCACCCCAAGGUUAGUUUUGUAAUUCGCGCCCAUCAUCGACGGAAGAGGUUCAUCGGCGGUGGAUUUGGAGGCGACCUAUUCUUCUCUGCAGUACUGUGGCAUGGAAAACCAGCGCGACGAGCGGCUGCGGAAGCUUGGUGGCCUUGACAAAGUGGUGUUGUGGAGUCUCAGUGAUUUGUCUCUGAUCAAGGGCGGCGGAGUGUUUCAUUGGAGAUCUUGCCGCAGUUCUAUCGAGGCUUAGAGAGGCAACUUGUUUUCGCUAGUUUGGUGGGUUGGGCCGUUUGUCGGGGACAGUUCUCCUGGUCGACGGUUGGAUCUACCUAAGGAUGGCGGUUCCUCUCGGUGGUGUUGUCAACUUGUCGGAGUCGGAUACUGUUCCUUACCGGAUUGAAGAUGGUGGUUCACGUGGUAAAAAAGAGGAGAUGUGCAUCGCGCGGCGGUGUUGGUUUCGAAGGAAGAGAAAAUCUGUGUGUCGGUUACUGGAUCUGGUGGUAGUCGACGAUUUGGCCGUGGGUUAUUCCAUGCUUUUGGUCAUGUCACUCCGGGAGUAGGAGUAUUCGGAAUCUUGCUGUGAACGGAUCUGGUUUCCGAAAUUGGACAACCUAGUUUCCAGUUCCUUAAAGGCGACGAUAGCUCUGCGCCGUUCUCGCAUACGCUGGAGGAAGAUAUGCAUGGGCUCGAGCUACUUUUCCCAAUCACAGAUUUAAUCUUAACCUAGUCCAUACGCUUUACCUUAGCCUAUUUCCAAGUCUUUUUUCAUUUUUUUGUUCAGGUUUACCACCGGCGGAGAUGUACUGUUCCGAUACCCUUUUAGGAAUUUUAUUAAUAAAAAUAUAUAUUUUUUUAAAAACAUUCAUUUUGACACGUUUCGACAUUUCAUAGUUUAUAAAACUGUCACAUACUCACAUGGUUUUUGUGAUAUGCUUACAACUAAUAAAUGUCUUUGGUACAAUUGUUUUUCAAUUUUUAGUUCUACCAAUUUUUAUUAUUUUUACGAUAAAAGUUAUCAUUUUAAAAAUAUGUUGAUUGUCACUAGUUCAGUGUUUUAUAUGGGAAAAUGGUCAAAAUUAAUCGAACUAAAUUUGAUGUGUCGAAAAAAAUCCGAACUAAAAUACGGUGCUAAUAACUAUCUAAACUCUAAAUAAUUCAAAUUUCCUAUCUGAAUUCUAAUAUAUGUGUCAAAAUCUAUCUUGACUAACUUUGACAUUAGUAACUGUUAAAAAAUGCUAACGAGGCAUGCUGACGUUGUCAUUUUAAUAAAACGAUAUUUUUUUUGUUGUAAAAAAAAUCAAAAACUUAUCCUCUUACCAGAACUUGACUUUUUAAUUUGUAGUUAAAUGUGUGGACCAGUUGAACCGUGAAACAAUAUUAAUACUUUUUACAAACAUAUUUAUAUAUUAUUGAUAUGCUGCAACAUUACAAUCAUGAGACCUAAAGAGAACAAGUAACAUCCCGUGGAUUAUCAAAGCCAUUACAAAAAGUAACCUGUUUGCUCUAUCGAGAUCUAAAGAGAACGAAUUCUCACCCAAAAUCGAUUUUCUCCUUUUGUUAAGCUUCUUCAAUCUCGUUUUUCUUCUACGGUUUUUUGGUUUUCUCUGCCAGAAUUGGUAGAGAGAGAAUGGAGAAGACGAAGUUGUUGCUGCUGCAAUUCUCCGAACUCAACAUCGAACACAGUUCCCGAUUAAUUGCAGCCUCUCAAUGCUCCAACAAUGGAAUUCGAUGAAGAAGAAGAACUCUCUAACCCUAAUUCGAUUUUGAGGGUGUAUUUUAUCCCCAAUUUAAUAUGUGGUCGUUUCGUUAAUUUUUUUUUUCGAGUUUAGACAUAUAUAUCAAUAACAUAUAAAUGUAUUUGUAAAGAAAAUCAAUAAUAUCUCACGGUUCAGUUGGUCAUUGCUUAAAUGGGGUUUACAAUGGCGCAGAUUGAAGUCCAAGGAAUAGAAAAAAUUUAGAUUUUUUUUAACAACGAAAACGACGUCGUUUUAGUAAGGUGACAACGUGUCAUGCCAAGUCAUAUUCUAUCAUGCCUCGUCAACGUUUUUUAACAGUUGAUUAACGUCAAAGUUAGUCAAAGUAGAUUUUAACACAUAUAUUGGAGUUCGAAUAGGAAAUUUGAAUUAAUUUGGAGUUCAGAUAGUUAUUAGCACCGUAUUUUAGUUUAGAUUUUUUUUAGCAAAUUUAGUUCGGGUUGGUUUUGGCCAUUUUCCCAUGUUUUAUAUAUAUAAGAUUUUAUUGGUUCAUGUGUUUCAAAUAAUAUCGAUCUCCAAUCAAAAUCUUGUUCAUUGGAUUAUCGAUGUAAGAAUUAUCGUCAAUAUCUUAUAUUAUUAGUUUAACAACUUAUAUGUACUUGUUGAAAUCUGGUGUCUUUAAUUCAACACAUCGACAACACCAAGAAAAACAAAAAAAUUGUAAUAUCUAAUGGAUCACUUUUUCCUCAUAAUUUUAUCUUUCUUGGUCUUCUCCAUCCUUUCUCUAAAACGUUUGAUCGGUAGAUGGCGGAACAAGUUUAACUUACCUCCAACUCCAGCUUGGUCACUGCCGGUGAUUGGUGAUUGGUGUAGAAAGUAAAUUUUGAGGAGAUAAAUAUUGCAAUAUAAGAAAACAAAUUGAGACAUAGAAAAACAUUUUAUAAAAGCGGAUUAAGGAAAAAUGAGAAAUGGAGGCGAGAUGAUCUCUUUCCUUAAUUCAAAAUAUCUCCCGCAGUGUGGCGGUUAGAUGAGAUAAUGAAUCCCAUGAUACAACCACUGAUAUUCGUAUAAUCGCAGCACCCGAUUAUUGAUAACACCGGAUUUUGACUAUUUUUAUGGAUCAUUUUAAUAUCUUUUACAGGUGUUUUUACUCCAUUUUCAAAGGUUUUCAAAGGAUUUCUAUAUUUUCGGAUUUUAAAAGACUUUUCAGGUAAUGUGGGAUAAAGAGGCACAAAAUAGAACAAAAAGACUCUUUUGGAUAAAUGCAGACCGUCAGAACUUUCAUGGAGAGACGAAGACCUUCUCACCGUCUGAUCACCCUCAAAAUUGGACAACUUAUAGAAGAAUCAACCAGCUUUCAAAUGCACUUAGUUUGGAGACAUUACAACGGUUGGAUCUCAAGAUAUUCCAUUAGCCCCGGAGCCACGCGGAGUCGGCCAGCAACUCACGCGACCGCGGCCAACAAGCUAUUUGCCGCGGUCAGAAGCUUCCCGAUCGCAGCCAACAAGCCAAUUGCCGCGGUCACAACACUCCCGACCGCGGCAUUCAACCUCCGACUUAAAGCCCACUUAUCUGAAGCCCAAAGUCAUUCCCAGCCUCAAUUCCGGAACCCUAGAGACCAUGGAGUAUUGGAGACUAUAAAUACAUGUCAUUUAGGUCGUUUUUAGAGAGAACCCUAGAUACUUUACAGAAACCCUUUUCUUUUAGCCGUUUUUAUGAGAUUUUUGUAGAAGAUUUUUCAAGUCCGAGUUCUUCAAUAGAGAAGCUUUCUUUAUCUCUUUUCUUUACUGUUUUUCAUUACUUUUAUUAAAACCAAUGAUGAUGUCGAACUCAGCCAUGUCUGAGUAGAUCCCGAGUUGGGCUUAGGGUUCCCGAAAGGGGCUCUCAUAAUCGAUUAAAAAAUUAGAGAUUGAUGUGUUUCUAGGGACAAAAGACGAUGACUUGAAAAAUCAACCCUGGUCUUUUCCCUUAUUGUCCCAUUAGAAAUCUCAGUUUUCUCUUCAAUCUUAUCUUCUUCCUCAGAAUCCUCUUCACAUCGACCACAGGUGUCUUCAUCCAUCGACUUAUUGAAAUUUCUUCUAGUAUAAGUUAAACCAAAAUGUGUGGAAACUGACUAUUCAACACAAAAGACUUUUCACUCUCUUCGUUCAACGUGAAUAACACUUCGUAGCAAAUGACUAGAUGGUGAGCCAAGCGAAGCUGAGUGGAAAUGGAGCACUGACUAUAUGUAUAUAAAGAGAUGGCAUGAAACCAAUUUAACCAUCACAAUUUCCAUUUGGUCGCUUCUUUUUCACUAUUGAUUUUCAAGAAAGUUAAAAAUUAGCUUAAAGAAAUAACGAAAGGCUCUUGAAACUCAAUGAGUACCAUUCAUAUUUCUCUUUCUUUUCUCCUCUUGUUCGUUUUUUAUUUUCAUGACGUGUUUGCGUCUCCUACUAGACACUUGUGUCGUCCAGAACAAAGGGAUGCACUUCUCGAGUUCAAGAAUGAGUUUGAGAUUCGGAAGCUUUCUUUUUUUCAGUGUUAUGUUAAUGGUAGCGUUGUUAUUGGAAUGGUAUCAAGUGCGAUGCCAAAUCUGGGGAAGUGAUCGAGCUAGACCUCAGUUGCAGCUGUCUCUACGGCAAGUUGCGUUCCAAUACCUCUGUUUAGGCUUCACAGCUUUUGUUUUCUCACCACUUUAUACCUUUCAUAUUAGGUCCCCAAAUCCCGUUCUCAAUUGGAAAUCUUUCUCUUCUCACUUCUCUCGACCUUUCUGAAUAUGGGUUUUCGGGUCAGAUUCCAUCUUCAAUUGGAAAUCUUUCACAGCUCACCUCGCUUGAACUUUCUUCCAAUCAGUUUUCGGGUCAGAUUCCAUCUUCAAUUGGAAAUCUUUCACAGAUCACCACUCUCCGUUUUUCCUUUAAUCAGUUUUCGGGUCAGAUUCCGUCUUCAAUUAAAAAGCUCUCUCAUCUCGAAACUCUUGACCUCAGUCAUAACAGACUCACUGGUGAAAUCCCAGAUUCUUUUGCCAGUUUGAAAAAUUUGACCGAGUUAAAUGUUAGUUUCAAUAAGCUUAGUGGUAAUUUUCCAAUUUCACUUCUAAAUUCGAUCAACUCACAGGAACGCUUCCUCCAAACAUUAGCUCACUCUCCAACUUGGAGUGGUUUUAUGCAUAUGACAACGAUAUAGUUGGAACCAUUCCUUCUUCUCUCUUCACCAUUCCUUCUUUGACACAAAUUGAUUUGUCAAAUAACCAACUGAACGGCAUUCAUGAGUUUGGGAAUAUACCUUCACCAACAAAGCUAGUGAGGUUAGAGCUUGGCGGUAACAACUUGAGAGGGCCAAUCCCGAGAUCCAUUUCCAAAUUAGUCAACCUCUAUUACCUUGACCUUUCCAAUUGGAACACCCAAUUAGGCCCAAUUGACUUGAGUAUCUUCUCGCAUCUCAAGUCACUCCGAUUUCUUGGCUUAUCCCAUUUGAACACCACCACUACGAUUGACUUGAAUGCCAUCUUAUCAUUUUUCCAGUCGCUUGGAUCAUUGGAUCUCUCAGGGAAUCAUGUUUCAGCCGAAAACAAGAGCUCAGUUUCAGAUCCUCCUUCGCAAAUGAUUAGUUCUUUAAACUUGUCAGGCUGCGGUAUUACCGAAUUUCCAGAGAUCAUAAGAACCCAACAGUCUAUGAGAUUUCUAGACAUUUCCAACAACAAAAUCAAAGGUCAAGUGCCUGGCUGGUUAUGGACGCUACCAGAUCUGGAGUACGUGGAUCUUUCCAACAACACUUUCGUCAGUUUCGAAAGACCAACGAAACAUGGACUAUCCUCUGCCUUUAUGUACUUGUUUGGCUCCAAAAACAAGUCUAAGGUCCCUUGACGUUGGUCAUAACCAACUGGUGGGAAAGCUUCCAAGAUCUUUGAUCCAUUUCUCUGCCCUUGAAGUUCUUAAUGUGGAAAGAAACAGAAUCAACGACACGUUUCCGUUCUGGUUGAGUUCUCUACAAAACCUGCAAGUUCUUGUCUUACGCUCCAAUGCAUUCCAUGGACCGAUUCAUCGAGCCUCCUUCCUUCAGCUCCUUCCUUCGCAUAAUCACUUCAACGGAACUUUGCCAUCGGACUAUUUUGUGAGCUGGAGUAAAAUGUCAUCACUUGGGACAGAGGAAGGUCGCUCAGAUCUAUACUACAUGGGAAAUGCAUAUUACGAAGAUUCAAUGGUCUUGAUGAAUAAAGGUGUACCAUUAGAGCUGGUACGUAUCCUUGAAAUCUACACAGCACUCGACUUCUCCGGAAACAGGCUUGAAGGAGAGAUUCCAAGCACCAUCGGCCUAUUGAAAGAGCUUCAUGUGCUCAACUUGUCAAACAAUGCUUUCACUGGCCACAUUCCAUCAUCUAUGGGUAACCUGACAGCUCUCGAGUCACUUGACGUUUCUCAAAACAAGCUUUCAGGAGUGAUCCCACAAGAGCUAGGGAAUCUCUCGUACCUUGAAGUCAUGAACUUCUCCCAUAACGCAGCCUUGCUCUUCCUUCGAAGACAACCCUGGACUUUUUGGCCCUUCUCUUGACGAAGUUUGCAAAGAUAUACACAAGACAUCAUCGCAAGAGAAUGAAACACCGGAGGAGGCAGAGGAAGAAGACGAAGAGGUGUUUAGUUGGAUUGCAGCUGCAAUAGGAUUUGGACCAGGCAUUGUAUUAGGACUGACGAUUGGAUACAUAUUGGCCUUCUACAAACCGAGGUGGUUCACGAGUCCUUUUGGCCGAAACAAACACAGAAGCAGAAGCACCACAGCUCAUUAAGAGAGGUAAUCUUCUGAAUUUCAUAGAUUAAAGACUAUGUAUAAUAUAACGAAAGUUUCUGGGUUAAUGUAUACUGUAUGUGAAAAUUAACUUUUUACGCCGUUUUUGUUUGUAUAGCGUUCUUAAACCCAAGAUGAAGAAUCUUUGAAAAACAGAAUGAAGCAACCAGACCAUAAGUAGAGAAGAAGCUUGGGGGAGAAGGCAACUCAUUUUAUCAAAGUCUAAAUAUCAGUGAUCGUUUCCGGUUUAGUUUGGUGUGUUUAUCAUAUACUCUGUUUUUAGCCAAUGUUUGUGUUUCUCUGUAAUUGAACAAUGAAAGAAUGUUUACAAAGCUCAAACUUAUUCCCAUUUCUCUGUGAUUGGACAUGAUUUGAGAGAGGUAAUAAUGUUCUUGCUCCGAAUAAAUCAAUCAUUCUUCUGCCAAAUGAAGAACUAAGAUUCAACACACAUCUCAGAAAAUUGAUCCUUUUUCUCUUUUGGUAAUAUUAAUUAGCUGAGUAAAAUGAUAACUUAAUUAGUUUAUUGAAAGAUAUUUCACUGAGAAAUAUAUUAGUUAGUGGCGAUCAGGAUCAGCGACCAAUUAAAGCUAUAGAUAUAGUUGCUUAAAACCCAAGCUUUGCCAUUACAAUGAGGAAAAAUCAUCUCACAAAUCAUUCCACUUUCCAACUAAUGAAACUCUACAAUAGUCAAAUGACUCAAAUCGGAAUUAGAAAGUAUACAUACACACAUAAUUUAAGGUCACAAUGACAAAAUCUUCGGUCUUACCAAUAAGAGUAUAAGUAUUCAUCAAAAGACAUCUUCUAAAAUGGAUUAUAUUAAAAAAAUUUGGUGAAAACAAACAAGAAAUUUUUACUGCUUAAUUCUUUUUGUUUUUAAAAACCAAAAGGUAAAUGGAAGUCGCUCUAAUUUUUACUUAUAAACCAAAACAAGAAAUUUUCAGUUAUAUCGUUCUAAGAUAAUGCAAUUGAUAGUAUAAUCUAUACUACUCUAUACUCCACUGAUACUUUUUCGUUUUUAAGCAGACAACUUUUCAGAGUACAAAUCUUUUGUUAUUUUUAUUCCUGGGAGAUGUAUAUCCUAUAAACAAAACUGUGUUAAAUGGAAGGACUUCAUGGACACCAAAACCAGAGGAGAAACGAAGACAGACGGUUUAGAAAUAUUUUGAUCACAUCAAAAAAAUAUAAUUCGAUAAUUUUUAUCAGAUUACAGCAUCACAAAGUCAGUGCAAAAUCAUAUAAAAAAAAUUCGAAUAAAGAAAAAACGUAUCAUGCCAAACGAAACCAAACAAAUAAAUAGAUAACAGUUGACUGACCGAGUCAGUCAUGGACAAAAACGAAGACUUGAAAAGUCAACUCCGGUCUUCUUCCUUAUUGUCCCACCAAUAAUUUACUUUUUUUCCUUCAAUCUCAUCUUCUUCCUCAAUCCUCUCAACAUCGAUCACAUAUUUCUUCAUCCAUUGACCUCAAAAACUUGAUUUUCACUAUUGACUCUCUUUCUUUCUCUCUCUCUCUAGAUUUUCCAACAAAGCUAUGGAGAAACUCUGUUUUCGAAACUCAUUUUCUCGCUUUAUGACGACUGUGGUCAUUGUUCUUCUUCCUCGUUGCACUCUUUCUGCUACUUCUACAUAUUCUCAUCGUCCCGAGAAGUUUUACGUCAACUGUGGGUCGGAUUCUAUUGUCACUUAUGGUGGUCGGACCUUCGUCGGAGAUAUGAUCUCCGGUGGUAACUCCGUUUCUUUCAACAGUAAAGGAACUGAAGCCAUCAACCAAUCAGGAUCAGGAAUCUAUGAAACGGUUAGGAUAUUCAGACGCCCUUCUUCUUACAAGUUCCAACUCGAUUCCAUUGGUCUGCACUUCGUGCGUCUCCAUUUCUCUGCUGUCUCUUCUCGGACAGAGCUUUUAACUGCUCGUUUCACAGUCUCAGCUACUUCUCACCUGAAAAGUUUCUCGCUUCAGAAUUUCAAUGAGACCCCACGAGUUGAGGAGUUUCUCCUGAUGAUUGACUCGCCAGAAUUCGAAAUUCGAUUUGUGCCCUAUCAUUCAUCCAUGGCUUUUGUCAACGCCAUCGAAGUGUUCUCUGCUCCUAAUGACCUCGAAAUUCCGUCAGACUCCGACAAGAAUCUGCAUACGGUUUACAGAUUAAACGUAGGAGGCAAGAAUAUCACACCAGAAAACGACACCUUGGGAAGAACUUGGUCAGUUGACGAGGACUUCCUCUACGAAAAAGAUUCUGCGAGGAACAUUAAUUCAACACAAAAGCCUAACUACGAGUCAGGGACAGCGACGCCAUUCACUGCUCCUGAUUUUGUCUAUCAGACAGCGAAAACGAUGAACCAUAGCUCGAAUGAGGGGAUGGCAGAUGGGAUGUUGAUGAACGUUACUUGGUCAUUUAAGGUCAAUAGCAACUCUAGACACUUCAUCAGGGUUCACUUCUGUGAUAUCAAGAGUGAAUCACAAAAUCCCGACUCCGAUUUCUAUCUCUAUGUAAACGGACAAUCACGACUAGAUGUAAAGCCUUCAGAGCGUAUUAGGUUGGUGACUCCGUUUUUCAAAGAUGUGAAUGUCUCUGAUGGUUUUGGACUCUUGAAUGUUACAAUAGGUACUAAGGAUUCCACUAAGGAUGCUGGUUUUCUGAAUGGUCUGGAGGUGAUGGAGUUUUUGAAAAAGUCAGAUUCUUCAGAUAAAAGUAGUUUCCGGGUUUACAUCAUCGCUGGCUGUGUUGUUGCUGCAUCGGUUCUGGUAUUGAGUUUGUUGUUCACAGUUUUCUUGAAGCGGAGGAGAUCGAAGAAGGAGAAUAAGUCAGACGCUGAGGUCACUGAAUGGUCUCCUUUGCCAUUGUACAGAGGUGGUGGGAGUUCCGACAAUAGACCUUCUGAUCCGGUCAACAAUUCUCCAUUACGCAGCAAUAGAACUUUUGAUCCGGUCCAUAAUUCGCCAUUACGCAACCUAAACUUAGGCUUGACCAUUCCCUUCAUAGACAUUAUGAGAGCUACAAACAAUUUCGAUGAGCAGUGGUUGAUCGGGAGAGGCGGUUUUGGAGACGUUUACAAAGCCAUUCUUCAAGAUGGAAGCAAAGCGGCUAUCAAGAGAGGCAAGAGUGGUUCAGGACAAGGACUAUUGGAGUUUCAAACAGAGAUUCAAGUCCUGUCGAGAAUCCGGCACAGGCACCUCGUUUCUCUAACGGGUUACUGCGAAGAGAACUCGGAGAUGAUCCUUGUCUACGAGUUUAUGGAGAAAGGUACGCUUAAAGAGCAUCUAUACGGCUCGGAUUUGCCUUCACUGACAUGGAAACAGAGACUAGAGAUUUGCAUCGGAGCAGCUAGAGGUUUGCAUUAUCUCCACAGUGGCUCAGAAGGAGCAAUCAUUCACAGAGAUGUCAAAUCCACAAACAUACUACUAGACGAGAACACCGUAGCCAAAGUCGCGGAUUUCGGGCUCUCAAACUCGCGGUUCGUAAUCAAGAUCCAAUCAAUAUCAGCACUAACAUCAAAGGAACAUUCGGUUACCUCGAUCCUGAGUAUCUGCAGACACACAUCUUGACGGAGAAAUCAGAUGUUUACGCUUUCGGAGUCGUUCUCCUCGAGGUCCUGUGCGCGAGAUCGGCUCUCGAUCCUUCUCUUCCUCACGAGGAAGUGAAUCUAGCGGAGUGGGCGAUGUUCUGCAAAUCCAAAGGGAUAAUCGAUGAGAUCUUAGAUCCGAAAUUGAUAGGUCAGAUCGAGCCGAGUUCGUUGAGGAAAUACAUGGAAAUCGCGGAGAAGUGUUUGAAAGAGUACGGCGACGAGAGGCCGAGCAUGGGGGAUGUGAUCUGGGAUCUGGAGUAUGUUCUUCAGCUUCAGAUGAUGCCGAUUCGCAGAGAGCCUCACGAGGAUAGCGCCGCGACGAUCUCCGGCGGCGGAGGCGAAAGCUCGUUGGUGAUUCCGAGGUUGAUGGUGAGUGAUUCGUUUAGCUCAAACUCGAUUGUUCAGAAGAACGAAGGGAAGAGUAGCUAUGGAGGUACAGAUUCAUCGGAGAGUCGAGUUUUCUCCCAAUUGAAGAUCUCCGAAGCAAGAUAAAAUUUCCUAUGAAACAUUCUGAUUUGAAAAGCGUCUGGUUUAAAGCUUUUGAUAUUAAAAACCGGUUAUUGCCGGUUUAAAUAUAAUCAUUUUAAAACAUAUGCAAAGUAACGAGUCAAUUGAAUGUAAUAUAAAAUUAAAACCCGGUUAUCGUCGGUUUAAAGUUAAUUAUUCUAAGACAAAUGCUAAUUUCCGAAUCGAAAAACAAUUCAAUUUAAUUAACCGAUAAAAACCUAAUUUCAAGAAAAGUUCUGAUUUGAUAAGUGAUUGGUUUAAUUUUUGAAAUUGAAACCCGGUUCCUGCCGGUAUAACGACUCAGCUGUUUGUGAUGUCGGCGAUGAACGAGUCCAGAUUCCGAGCCGAUGAUCCACCAGACGCCAACGCCGAUCUCGCCGCGUGCUUCAGCUCCGUCACUCUCCUCCUCAUAUCCGCGGCGGCAGAUCCUUCCCUCACGGCCUCAAUACAUCUCUCCACCUCUUCAACCUUAAGCUCUCCGUCGACAGCGUCGUUCCUCAUCCUCACUCCGAUCCCGAACACAUCCACAAGCAAUCUCGCGUCAAGCGGCUGAUCAAUCCAGCUCGGGUACGCCACCACCGGAACACCAGUCACCACCGUCUCCAUCGUCGAGUUCCAUCCACAGUGCGUGACGAAACAAGAGAUCGCCACGUGACUCAGUAUCCACUCUUGUGGACCCCACUCAAUCACAAUACCUUGACCUUCUCUAACCAUCUCCUGCAAAACGUCGACGUUUUCGCCUUUCUCCUUUGGCCUAAUCACCCAGAGAAACGAAACUCCUCUGUUUCUCAGAGCCGUUGCUAUGCUCUUAACUUGAGUCUCCGAAGAUUUCAGCAAACUUCCAAAAGAAAUGUAAACAACCGAAGACCUAGCUUGCUUGUCAAGCCACUCCAUACAAUACUCAUCCGAUUUCCACAUAUCAAGAUUUUUACCAUCUAGGGUUUUGUCUUCUUCAUCAGCUCCCAACAGAAAUGGAGAAACCAGAGGACCAAUUGGGAUCAUGGGUUUUAAACCAGACAUCGAUUCGAUUAUCUCUGAUUCGAGCUCGUAGAACGAAUUAACCAAAACCCAUUUCACAUCUUUCAAGCAAUCGACGAACUCCACCAUUAGGCUAUUGAAAUGACUUCCUGAAGAAGGCAAGAGAAACGAAGGGAGAUCUCCAACUUCCAACAAUGGUAAACCUGGCAAUUCAACCGUUUGAUUCAAAUCUUCGAGAUUCUCAGGGAAAGCAUUCGUCUUCAUGUAGUAACGGUAAUAAACCGAGAAAGCUCCACAAGCUUCGAUCCAGAGGAUUGCACAGGGGAUGUUAUAUGCAGCUGCAACACUUGGAACCCAUGGAGCAAAAGGCACAGUGACGAUGCAAGAGAAUCUCUUUGAUUCGACGAUUUUAGACAAGUUCUUGGCUCCGACUUUUUUCAACGAUGGUAUGAGAGAAUCUGCGGCUCUUGUGUGGUCUUUAGGCAGACCGUCGGGGAAGAAAGCAAGGUCCACUGGGCUACGGUGAUGUUCUUCGGCGGCGGUGGUGGUGGAGAGGAGGUCACGGGUUUUCUCGGUGGUAGCGAGAGUGAAGCUAAGGUUUGGUCGUGAGAGAUGUUUGGCGAAUUUGAGCAUUGGAUUAAGAUGACCUUGAAAUGGUAGUGCUACCAAUAGAACAUGUGUUUCUUGACCCUCACUAUUUCUCAUUUCUGCUUUGUUUAGAGGUGUUACUUAUUAGACUUGAGUUGUGUAUGAGAUUGUGUGUAACUUGUAAUUGUGGUGGUAUAUAUAACAAUGGUUGCUUAACGAUAGAUUUUUGCUUAAAAUGAAGUUAUUAAGUGAGAUUUUGGUAAGAAAAAUCUAUAUAUAGUAAAAAUUGGUAACCCAAUAAAAUGUAAUAGAUUCAAAAGUUACCACGUUUAUUAGCACCCUGCGCCUUGUCCUUAACUCAAUUCAAAUCUUGUAUAAUUGUUGACCAAAAAAACACGAUAUAUAUACCAAUUCUAGUAUGGUUAAAGUCAACAGUCAUUACUAAUGAUUUAUGAAUCUUUUUGUAUAGUGUGACACUGAGAUCAUUGUAAUUUGUUAAUGACAAUCUAUAAACUGUAAUUGGUAAUCCAAUAAACGUUGGUCAAUAAAUUCAAAUUUAAUCAUGUGUUUCUAUGCUCUUGUAAAUAAAUAAAUAUAUGUUAUUUUCAAUUGUGUUAUGGUUAUGAUUAGAUUUAUAUAAAAAAUAUGGUUAUGAUUAGAUUUAUAUAAAAAAAAACAGGUCUCAAUUCAUUCGGAUCAGUCUCGUUUGUAUCUGUCUCACUUUUAGAUUUGAAAUCCGUUAAGCUCUAUUUAGUUUUUGGAACUAACAGAGUAAUCGGUUUAUACAUGCCAAAAUUCUUUUAAUCUAUUUAAAACCAUUUACGAUAUGAUGCUUAAACAUUCUUAAUAUUUAUUUUAAAUUAUAUAAACUAAGCUUUUGGAAGCUAAUCAGAAGCUAACACACCAGUAUAAUUACCAUUGUUUUUUUAUUAAAUAAUAAUUACCAAUGUUUCAAGGCAUGCUUGAAUAUUCCACUAAGAAAAAUCAUCGAAAUUGUUUAUACUAAUCUAAAAUCCUAGCAAAGGUGGGUGAAUCUUUUUUUUUAAAUAGUUAUACAUAUUUUCGAGAUGACAAAAUUUAACAAUAUGAUAAAAUCAUAUGAACACUCGAACAUUUAUGUAGAUUUUAGUUAUGUUAUAUAUCCAAGAAGAAAUGAAUAAUAUUAAGUAACAUCUAUUACAAAUAACAUAUCAAUUGGUAACAUCAGAUGGCAAAUCAAAUAACAUCAUUACGUAGUAAAUUCAUGUGCAUGCGUUACUAGCUAAGCUUGUAUUCACUUUAUAAAAGAAAAUACAAAAUAGCAAUAGCAAUAAUGAAGGGAAGAGCAGCUACGGAGGUACAGAUUCAUUGAUCGAAGAGUCGAGUUUUCUCCCAAUUGAAGAUCUCUGAAGCAAGAAAACAAAUAAUCUCUUGAAUCCUUCUGAUUUAAAUACCGACUGGUUUUAACUUUUGAUAAUAAAAUCCGGUUAUUGCCGGUUUAAAUAUAAACAUUUUUUUAAGUCGACAAAAAAAAACAUUUCAAAACAGAUGUAAAGUGAGUCAACACUAUGAUCGAUGACUUUCUAGUUGAUGAGAAACGUGCACAAAAAGAAAAGGGUAACACUAUGAUCGAUCACUUGCUUUCUCUCCAAGAAACUCAACCAGAUUAUUAUACGGAUGUCAUCGUCAAAGGACUCAUAGUUGUAAGUAUUGAGGAAUACAUUUAAUACAUCACUAACAACUAACAAGGCUAACUAAGCUUUUUAUAAUGACUAAUUCUUGACUUCUAUUUGGAUAGGUUAUGAUAUUUGCCGGAAAUGUAACAAGAACGUUAGAAUGGGCGAUGCUAAAUCUGUUGAACCAUCCAGAAGUACUAAAGAAAGCGAGGAUUGAAAUCGAUACAAACAUUGGUUUGGACAGGUUAAUAGAUGAACAGGAUGCGAAAAGUCUUCCUUACCUCCAAUGCAUCAUAUCAGAGAUUUUUCGACUUUACCCGGCAGCUCCUUUACUUGCUCCUCAUAGGGCUACAGAUGAUUGUAUAGUUGGAGGCUACGACUUCCCUCUUGGCACGACAUUAAUCGUGAACGUAUGGGCCGGCCAUUCACCGAGACCCAAACAUAUGGUAAGAGCCAGAAAAGUUCAAGUUAGAGCGGUUCGAGAAGAAAGGAGAAGAACAAAAGUUGAUGCCGUUUGGAAUGGGACGACGAGCUUGUCCCGGGUCUGGUCUAGCUCAACGGGUCGUGAGUUUGGCUCUCGGAUCGAUGAUUCAAUGUUUUGAAUGGGAGAGACUUGGAGAAGAAUAUGUUGACCUAAGCGAAGCAACCACAAUGCGUCCAACGACGCCGUUGCUAGCCAUGUGUAGAGCUUGUCCUAUUGUUCAUAAGAUUUUCAAUACUUCUUUUUGAGAUGUCACUCCCUUUUUAAAAAAUAUGUAUAUCCAUUUAUGUUAUAUCCAUUUUGAGAUGUAAUUAAAAUGAAAGACAAAGACUAGUCUUUGAUUUGCCUUAAGAUUUUCCAUUUUAUUAAAAUUCAAAAACUAUUUUUUUUUUUCAAAAACCAAAAUUUAGAAGUUAAAUGCUACUCCAUUAUCAAAUAAACUCACUUCUAAAUUUCUAUGAAUGAGGAGUAGUUUUUUACUUUGAGAAAGUGUGAAGAAAUUUUUCCAAUUUCUUAGUUUUUGUUUGUUUUUUUUUGAGAAAGGGUUAAGAAAAGGGAGCUUGUUUUAUAAUGGAAUCUCUCAUGCAAUUAUUCCCACCUGUCACUAGAGAUAUGUUCGUAACUUCGUAACGUCUCAUGCAAUUACUGACUAAUAAACAUGUGUGAUAAGUCACCAUUAAUAUUUAUUGUCUAUUUCUUUUGCUUUUAAUUAUUAGGGUUUUGAGUAGAAAUUUGUUUCUUUCUAAUAUUAUAGACAAUAUAUAUUGCUAGCGUUUACGUUUUUUAUUUUGGUUCAAAACAUAGUGGUUAAAAAUAAACAAAUCAUAAAUUUUUAUUAUUAGUCAUUAAUGAAUGAGAGACGUUACGAACAUAUCUUUAGUUUAUUAAAAAAAAAAAAAGAUAUCUUUAGUGACAGGUGUGAUAAUUGCAUGAGAGUUUUCAUUAUAAACUAAGCUACAUAAACUAAUAACUCCCACGUUCGAUUCAACACAUUUACAACAAGAAGAAGUUCUUGAUCUAAAAUGGAAACUUAUUUUCUUAUUUUAUCCCUCGCCAUCUUCUUUUUCAUUUCUCUUAAACUUUUGUUUAAUAAACCGCAUAACAAGUUUAACCUACCACCAAGUCCGGCGAGGCCACUACCGUUGAUUGGACACCUUCACCUCCUGAAGCAGCCUCUCCACCGCACAUUCCUAUCUUUCUCUCAAUCCCUCGGCAGUGCCCCAAUUUUCUCCCUCCGUCUUGGAAACCGUCUCGCGGUUGUCGUCUCCUCCUACUCCAUCGCAGAAGAAUGCUUCACGAAAAACGACAUCGUUUUGGCUAACCGACCAGAGUCCAUAGUCGGGAAAUACAUUGAGUACAACUUCACCACUGUGACCAGCGCGCCUUAUGGUGACCACUGGCGAAACUUGCGGCGUCUCAGCACCCUCGAGAUCUUCUCCUCGCACAAGCUCAAUGGCUUUAUAUCCGUCCGUAAGGACGAGAUCCGACACUUGCUACUUCGUCUCUCCAAAAACUCGCAACAUGUAUGUGAGCUUCUACAUAUUAGUACUCUAUGACUAUAUACAUUAUCAGAGUUUGUAACCUAGUAGUUUGUCUUAGUGUGGCCUCUAGGUCAUAACCUAUAUAUAUACAUUACUUGAAGAUCUGCUCAGAGUUUGUAACCUAGUAGUGUGGCCACUAAAUUAAAAGUCAUAACUUGAGUACCAUGCAACAAAAGUUUGAGAAUUAAUCAUUUGUUUAUUUGAUAAUAAAUUAGGGGUUUGCCAAGGUGGAGAUGAGAUCAUUGUUUAUGGAUUUGACUAUCAAUAACAUUCUCAGAAUGAUGGCUGGGAAAAGAUUUUAUGGUGAUGGAACAGAGCAAGACGACAAUGCACGGCGAGUGAGACAGCUUAUUGACGAGGUGGUAUCCUACGCCGGCGCCGGGAAUGCUACCGAUUAUAUCCCAAUCUUGCGUUGGAUCACAAGUUUUGAGAAACGGGUCAAGAACUUAGCGGGUCGGGUCGAUGAGUUCUUGCAGAGCCUGGUGGAUGAAAAACGUGCGGAUAAAGAAAAGGGCGACACUAUGAUGGAUCACUUGCUUUCUCUCCAAGAAAUCCAGCCUAAUUAUUACACAGAUAUCACUCUAAAGGGGAUUAUAGUUGUAAGUAUUUAUUUUCUACAUUUAUUAAUCUUGAAUAAUCUAUUUAAUAUAUAACAACACAAACUAAACAUUUGUUAAUUUAAUUUUUACAGGUUAUGAUACUUGCCGGAACUGAAACACUAACAGGAACAUUAGAAUGGGCUAUGUUGAAUUUGUUGAAUCAUCCAGAGGUAUUAACGAAAGUAAGAACCGAAAUCGAUACCAAAAUCGGUUUUGACCGGUUAAUAGAUGAACAAGAUAUUAAAAAGCUCCCUUAUCUCGAAGGGAUUGUGUUGGAGACCUUACGUCUCCACCCUGUAGCUCCUACACUUGUUCCACAUAUGACGUCAGAUGAUUGCAUGUUGGCCGGAUACGAUGUUCCAAGUGGAUCCAUGCUAUUGGUGAACGUAUGGGCCAUGCAUAGAGACCCGUCUCUAUGGGAAGAUCCAGAAAUGUUCAAGCCAGAGAGGUUCGAAAAUGAAAAUGAAAAUCAAAAGGUGUUGUCGUUUGGGAUUGGACGACGAUCAUGUCCCGGGGUUGGAUUAACUCAUCGGCUAGUGAGCUUGGCUCUUGGAUCGAUGGUUCAAUGUUUCGAAUGGGAGAGAAUUGGAGAAGAAUAUAUUGACACUAGAGAGGCACCUAUGAUGCGUCCAACUACCCCGUUGCAAGCCAUGUGUAAAACUUGUCCCAUUGUCCAUAAGAUUCUCGAUGCUUAUGCUUGAAUUGUAACUCUUCUUGGUUUGAUUUAUGUUCGGAAAUACUACAUCAACUUGUUUUGAGUUGGGAAAUAAUUCAAAAUCCUUCUAAGAACGCUCUCAUGCAAACUGUUGAAUGUAUCUUCAAGGUUCUGAUCACCAUCUAGCUGAGUCUUUACGGAAAAUUAGAUCGUCACUAAAUAUUAUCAUUUUACCUUCGAAUAUAUUGAUUUUGUUGCCCUGAUGAUACACUUGAAAUAAAUAAAAAACAACCAUAGAGACACUCAAAUAAAAAAAAAGCUCAUAGCUUUAAAAUUUCUUGUAUAUUUUGAAACUAAAAUUAAGCUAUAUUACUUAUACUGAUAUUCCAUUUCUUCACAGUAUGAUCUAAUGAUUUUUGCAAUCCUCUAUGCUUUUGUUGUUGCAAUUAUACUUAUAUCUCCAUUUCAUUACAGUAUGAUAUAUAUAUAUAUAUAUAUAUUGUAAGUUUUGCAAUCCUCUACAUAUCAUUCUUCCCACAGCUCUAUCUGAAAAUUCCAUAUAUAUGUUCAACUUAUCUCUCUUCGUGUGUUGUGAAUUGUGUAUUAGAUUUGAGUAUUACAUUUGUACUUUUACAAUUCUUUUUUUUUUUUAUAAUCUUGAAGUGCUCUAGGAAUUAUAAUUAUUAUAUCAUGUUGGAUUUUUAAGAAUUUUGGUUUUUAUGAUAUUUUGUAAAAAAUUAGAGAGUGAUGUGUUUCUAGGGACAAAAGACGAAGACUUGAAAAAUCAACCCUCGUCUUUUUCCUCAUCGUCCCAUUAGAAAUCUCAGUUUUCUCUUCAAUCUUAUCUUCUUCCUCAGAAUCCUCUUCACAUCGACCACAGGUUUCUUCAUCCAUCGACUUAUUGAAAUUUCUUGUAGUAUAAGUUAAACCAAAAUGUGUGGAAACUAUUCAACACAAAAGACUUUUCACUCUCUUCUUUCAACGUGAAUAACACUUCGUACGAAGGACUAAAUGGUGAGCCAAGCGAAGCUGAGUGGAUAUGGAGCACUGACUAUAUGUAUUUAAAGAGAUGGCAUGAAAACAAUUUAACCAUCACAAUUUCCAUUUGCUCGCUUCUUUUUCACUAUUGAUUUUCAAGAAAGUUAAAAAUUAGCUUAAAGAAAAAACGAAAGGCUCUUGAAACUCAAUGAGUACCAUUCAUAUUUCUCUUUCUUUUCUCCUCUUGUUCGUUUUUAGUUUUCAUGACGUGUUUGCUGCUCCUACUAGACACUUGUGUCGUCCGGAGCAAAGGGAUGCACUUCUCGAGUUCAAGAAUGAGUUUGAGAUUCGGAAGCCUUCUUUUGAGUGUUAUGUUAAUGGUAGCUAUGUGCGCCCUUACCCGAAGACGGAGUCAUGGGCAAAUAACACUGAUUGUUGUUAUUGGGAUGGGAUCAAGUGCGAUGCCAAAUCUGGGGAAGUGAUCGAGCUAGACCUCAGUUGCAGCUGUCUCUACGGCAAGUUUCGUUCCAAUACCAGUCUGUUUAGGCUUCACAGCUUUCGUUUUCUCACCACUUUAUACGUUUCAUAUAAUGAGUUACAUGGUCAAAUCCCGUUCUCAAUUGGAAAUCUUUCUCUUCUUACUUCUCUCGACCUUUCUUCCAAUGGGUUUUCGGGUCAGAUUCCAUCUUCAAUUGGAAAUCUAUCACUGCUUACCUUUCUGAGACUUUCUGAUAAUCAGUUUUCGGGUCAGAUUCCAUCUUCAAUUGGAAAUCUUUCACAGAUUACCACUCUCCGUUUUUCCUUUAAUCAGUUUUCGGGUCAGAUUCCGUCUUCAAUUGGAAAUCUUUCACUUCUUACCUCUCUUGAUCUUUCUUCCAAUCAGUUUUCGGGUGAGAUUCCAUCUUCAAUUGGAAAUCUUUCACUGCUUACCUCUCUCUAUCUUUCUUUCAAUCAGUUUUUGGGUCAGAUUCCAUCAUCAAUUGGAAAUCUUUCACUGCUCACCUCUCUCCAUCUUUCUUAUAAUGGGUUUUCGGGUGAGAUUCUAUCAUCAAUUGGAAAUCUUUCACUGCUCACCUCUCUUCAUCUUUCUUAUAAUGGGUUUUCGGGUGAGAUUCCAUCCUCAAUUAAAAAUCUUUCACAGCUCACCUUUCUCAAACUUUCUUCCAAUCAGUUUUCGGGUCAGAUUCCAUCUUCAAUUAAAAAGCUCUCUCAUCUCCAAACUCUUCACCUCAGAUAUAACAAAUUCACUGGUGAAAUCCCAGAUUCUUUUGCCAGUUUGAAAAAUUUGACCGAGUUAGAUGUUAGUUUCAAUAAGCUUAGUGGUAAUUUUCCAAUUUGGCUACUAAAUUUGACAAAGUUGUCGUAUUUAUCACUCGAAUACAAUCAACUCACAGGAACGCUUCCCUCAAACAUUAGCUCACUCUCCAACUUGCGAUAUUUUUGGGCACGUGACAAUGAUUUCGUUGGAACCAUUCCUUCUUCUCUCUUCACCAUUCCUUCUUUGACAAGAAUUUAUUUGUCAAAUAACCAACUCAACGGCACUCUUGAGUUUGGGAAUAUAUCUUCACCAACAAAGCUAGAGUGGUUAGAGCUUGGCGGUAACAACUUGAGAGGGCCAAUACCGAGAUCCAUUUCCAAAUUAGUCAACCUCCGGGGACUUUACCUUUCCAAUUGGAACACCCAAUUAGGCCCAAUUGACUUGAGUAUCUUCUCGCAUCUCAAGUCACUCGGAUUUCUUUACUUAUCCCAUUUGAACACCACCACCACGAUUGACUUGAAUGCCAUCUUAUCAUUUUUCAAGUCGCUCGAAGGAUUGGAUCUCUCAGGCAACCAUGUUUCAGCCGAAACCAAGAGCUCAGUUUCAGAUCCUCCUUCGCAAAUGAUACGAGAAUUAAACUUGUCAGGCUGCGGUAUUACCGAAUUUCCAGAGAUCAUAAGAACCCUGCAGUCUAUGGAGAGACUAGACAUUUCCGACAACAAAAUCAAAGGUCAAGUGCCUGGCUGGUUAUGGACUCCACCAAAUCUGACGUACGUGAAUCUUUCCAACAACACUUUCGUCAGUUUCGGAAGACCAACGAAACAUGGACUAUCCUCUGGCUUGUGGUACUUGUCUGGCUCCAGAAACAAUUUCACGGGAAAGAUUCCCUCCUUCAUAUGUGCGUUGGGCUCUCUAAGCGUUCUCGAUUUAUCUGAAAACAACUUCACGGGAAAGAUUCCCUCCUUCAUAUGCGCGUUGGGCUCUCUAAGCGUUCUCGAUUUAUCUGAAAACAACUUCAAUGGUUCAAUCCCUCUUUGUAUGGAGAAUCUCAAGAGUAAUCUUUCGGUUCUAAACCUCCGUCAGAAUCAUCUUAGCGGAGGCCUUCCGGAGAAUGUAUUUGAAAGUCUAAGGUCCCUUGACGUUGGUCAUAACCAACUGGUGGGAAAGCUUCAAAGAUCUUUGAUCCAUUUCUCUGCCCUUGAAGUUCUAAAUCUGGAAAGCAACAGAUUCAACGACACCUUUCCGUUUUGGUUGAGUUCUCUACAAAACCUGCAAGUUCUUGUCUUACGCUCCAAUGCAUUCCAUGGACCGAUUCAUCGAGCCUCCUUCCUUCAGCUGAAAAUCAUGGACAUCUCGCAUAAUCACUUCAACGGAGUUUUACCGUCGGAUUACUUUGUGAACUGGAGUAAAAUGUCAUCACUUGGGACAGAAAAAGAUCGGUCGGAUGUAAACUACAUGGGAGAAGGUACCUAUUACGAAGAUUCAAUGGUUUUGAUGAAUAAAGGCUUAGAGAUGGAGCUGGUACGUAUAUUAAAAAUCUUCACAGCACUCGACUUCUCCGGAAAUAGAUUUGAAGGAGAGAUUCCAAGGUCCAUCGGCCUAUUGAGAGAGCUUCACGUGCUCAACUUGUCAAACAAUGCUUUCACUGGCCACAUUCCAUCAUCUAUGGGGAACCUGACAGCUCUCGAGUCACUUGACGUUUCCCAAAACAAGCUUUCAGGUGAGAUCCCACAAGAGCUAGGGAAUCUCUCGUACCUUUCUUCCAUGAACUUCUCUCAUAACCAGCUUGUCGGUCUAGUACCUGGAGGCACUCAGUUUCGAACGCAGCCUUGCUCUUCCUUCGAACACAACUCAGGACUUUUUGGCCCUUCUCUUGACGAAGUUUGCAAAGAUAUCCACAAGCCAUCAUCGCAAGAGUAUGAAACACCGGAGGAGGCAGAGGAAGAAGACGAAGAGGUGUUUAGUUGGAUUGCAGCUGCAAUAGGAUUUGGACCUGGCAUUGUAUUAGGAUUGACGAUUGGAUACAUAUUGGCCUUCUACAAACCGAGGUGGUUCACGAGUCCUUUUGGCCGAAACAAACACAGAAGCAGAAGCACCACAGCUCAUUAAGUGAGGUAAUCUUCUGAAUUUCAUAGAUUAUAGACUAUGUAUAGUAUAAUGAAUUUUUCUGGGUUAAUGUAUACUGUAUGUGAAAAUUAACUUUUUACGCCGUUUUUGUUUGUAUAGCGUUCUUAAACCCAAGAUGAAAAAUCUUUGAAAAAGAGAAUGAAGCAACCAGACCAUAGGACUGUAGAGAAAGAAGCUUGGGGAGAAGGCAACCCAUUUUAUCAAAAACUAAAUAUCAGUGAUUGUUUCCGGUUUAGUUUUGUGUGUUUAUCAUAUACUCUGUUUUUAGCCAAUGUUUUUGUUUCUCUGUAAUUGAACAAUGAAAGACUGUUUACAAAGCUCAAACUUAUUCCUAUUUCUCUGUGAUUGGACAUGAUUUGAGAGAGGUUAUAAUGCUCUUGCUCCGACUAAAUCAAUCAUUCUUCUGCCAAAUGAAGAACUAAGAUUCAACACACAUCUCAGAAAAUUGAUCCUUUUUCUCUUUUGGUAAUAUUAAUUAGCUGAGUAAAAUGAUAACUUAAUUAGUUUAUUGAAAGAUAUUUCACUGAGAAAUAUAUUAGUUAGUGGCGAUCAGGAUCAGCGACCAAUUAAAGCUAUAGAUAUAGUUGCUUAAAACCCAAGCUUUGCCAUUACAAUGAGGAAAAAAAAUCAUCUCACAAAUCAUUCCACUUUCCAACUACUGAAACUCUACAAUAGUCAAAUGACUCAAAUCGGAAUAAGAAAGUUAUACAUACACACAUAAUUUAAGGUCACAAUGACAAAAUCGUCGGUCUUACCAAAAAGAGUAUAAGUAUUCAUCAAAAGACAUCUUCUAAAAUGAAUUAUAUUAAAAAAAUUUGGUGAAAACAAACAAGAAAUUUUUACUGCUUAAUUAUUUUUGUUUUUAAAAACCAAAAGGUAAAUGGAAGUCGCUCUAAUUUUUACUUAUAAACCAAAACAAGAAAUUUUCAGUUAUAUCGUUCUAAGAUGAUGCAAUUGAUAGUAUAAUCUAUACGACUCUAUACUCCACUGAUACUUUUUCGUUUUUAAGCAGACAACUUUUCAGAGUACAAAUCUUUUGUUAUUUUUAUUCCUGGGAGAUGUAUAUCCUAUAAACAAAACUGUGUUAAAUGGAAGGACUUCAUGGACACCAAAACCAGAGGAGAAACGAAGACAGACGGUUUAGAAAUAUUUUGAUCACAUCCAAAAAAUAUAAUUCGAUAUUUUUUAUCAGAUUAAAGAAAAAACGUAUCAUUUUGAUCACAUCACAAAGUCAGUGCAAAAUCACAUCCAAAAAACUGUGAUAAUUUUGAUCACAUCACAAAGUCAGUGCAAAAUCAUAUAAAAAAAAUUCGAAUAAAGAAAAAACGUAUCAUGCCAAACGAAACCAAACAAAUAAAUAGAUAACAGUUGACUGACCGAGUCAGUCAUGGACAAAAACGAAGACUUGAAAAGUCAACUCCGGUCUUCUUCCUUAUUGUCCCACCAAUAAUUUACUUUUUUUCCUUCAAUCUCAUCUUCUUCCUCAAUCCUCUGAACAUCGACCACAUAUUUCUUCAUCCAUUGACCUCAAAACUUGACUUUCAUAGUUUCACUAUUGACUCUCUUUCUUUCUCUCUCUCUCUCUAGAUUUUCCAACAAAGCUAUGGAGAAACUCUGUUUUCGAAACUCAUUUUCUCUCUUUAUGACGACUGUGGUCAUUAUUCUUCUUCCUCGUUGCACUCUUUCUGCUACUUCUAUAUAUUCUCAUCGUCCCGAGAAGUUUUACGUCAACUGUGGGUCGGAUUCUAUUGUCACUUAUGGUGGUCGGACCUUCGUCGGAGAUAUGAUCUCCGGUGGCAACUCCGUUUCUUUCAACAGU
rnacentral:lncRNA from 1 species